GACGAAUGCUGGCUGCGUGCUUAACACAUGCAAGUCGAACGGUGAAGGAGGGCUUGCCCUCCGGAUCAGUGGCGAACGGGUGAGUAACACGUGGGCAACCUGCCCCUCACUCUGGGAUAACGCCGGGAAACCGGCGCUAAUACCGGAUACGACCAGGCGCGACAUCUCGCCUGGUGGAAAGAAUUUCGGUGAGGGAUGGGCCCGCGGCCUAUCAGCUUGUUGGUGGGGUAACGGCCCACCAAGGCGACGACGGGUAGCCGGCCUGAGAGGGCGACCGGCCACACUGGGACUGAGACACGGCCCAGACUCGUACGGGAGGCAGCAGUGGGGAAUAUUGCGCAAUGGGCGAAAGCCUGACGCAGCGACGCAGCGUGAGGGACGAAGGCCUUCGGGUUGUAAACCUCUUUCAGCGGGGACGAAGCGAAAGUGACGGUACCCGCAGAAGAAGCACCGGCUAACUACGUGCCAGCCGCCGCCGUAAUAC
rnacentral:rRNA from 1 species